rfam:Branchiostoma floridae genomic scaffold BRAFLscaffold_195, whole genome shotgun sequence.
UGGCUGUUUGGGAAGAUGAGCUGUUCUGCUACAGCUGCUUGUCGGACUAGCGUAACAGGACGCUCGUCUGCCCAAACAUCUGGCCACU